rnacentral:rRNA from 1 species
GACGAACGCUGGCGGCGUGCUUAACACAUGCAAGUCGAGCGGUAAGGCCCUUUCGGGGGUACACGAGCGGCGAACGGGUGAGUAACACGUGGGUGACCUGCCCUCAGCUCUGGGAUAAGCCUGGGAAACCGGGUCUAAUACCGGAUAUGACUCCAUGACGCAUGUUGUGGGGUGGAAAGCCUUGUGCGGCUGAGGAUGGGCCCGCGGCCUAUCAGCUUGUUGGUGGGGGAUGGCCUACCAAGGCGACGACGGGUAGCCGGCCUGAGAGGGCGACCGGCCACACUGGGACUGAGACACGGGCCCAGACUCCUACGGGAGGGCAGCAGUGGGGAAUCUUGCGCAAUGGGCGAAAGCCUGACGCAGCGACGCCGCGUGAGGGAUGACGGCCUGGUGUAACUCUU